CGGGAUGUGGCCCAGCUUGGUAGGGCGUCUCGUUCGGGACGAGAAGGUCGUGAGUUCGAAUCUCGCCAUCCCGACCA
rnacentral:tRNA from 3 species